CCUACGGGCGGCAGCAGUGGGGAAUAUUGCACAAUGGGGGAAACCCUGAUGCAGCGACGCCGCGUGAGUGAGGAAGUAUUUCGGUAUGUAAAGCUCUAUCAGCAGGGAAGAAAAUGACGGUACCUGACUAAGAAGCCCCGGCUAACUACGUGCCAGCAGCCGCGGUAAUACGUAGGGGGCAAGCGUUAUCCGGAUUUACUGGGUGUAAAGGGAGCGUAGACGGUUAAUCAAGUCAGAAGUGAAAACCCAGGGCUCAACCUUGGGACUGCUUUUGAAACUGAGUAGCUAGAGGGCAGGAGAGGUAAGCGGAAUUCCUAGUGUAGCGGUGAACUGCGUAGAUAUUAGGAGGAACACCAGUGGCGAAGGCGGCUUACUGGACUGUAACUGACGUUGAGGCUCGAAAGCGUGGGGAGCAAACAGGAUUAGAUACCCUGGUAGUC
rnacentral:rRNA from 1 species